rnacentral:misc_RNA from 1 species
UACGGAGGGUGCAAGCGUUGUCCGGAUUUAUUGGGUUUAAAGGGUGCGUAGGCGGCUAGUUAAGUCAGCGGUGAAAGUUUUGGGCUCAACCCAGAAAUUGCCAUUAUACUGAUUAGCUUGAGUAUUGGAGGGGUACAUGGAAUUGAUGGUGUAGCGGUGAAAUGCAUAGAUACCAUCAGGAACACCGAUAGCGAAGGCAUUGUACUGGCCAAUAACUGACGCUGAUGCACGAAAGCAUGGGUAGCGAACAGG